AAGCGCUGGCAACCAGACUCGAGCGCGGUGUUCCCCCUGGCUUCUGCUAGGGUUACUUCACCGUGUCCGGGCCAUCAUCAGUUUUGGGGACCGGUCAAAGGCCCCGGGAAUGUAUCGUCUCCUUCGGGGGACGACUUAUAGCCCACCGUGUAAUACCCUGGGGGGGACUGAGGUUCGCGCAUCUGCAAGGAUGCUGGCGUAAUGGU
rnacentral:rRNA from 1 species